UUAAUUAGAAAAGUUUCAUUCCACUACCAUGAUAGGUCAAAUACACGGCACAAUAAAAAAAUAACAGAAAUUAAAAUUCCAUUCCACAGGUCUUUGUUUCUUCACAUGAGAAUCAGAACAUCAUCAAAGAUUUUUCUAGUAAAAGUAAACACGUUUUGGUUUGGUCAUAGGUAUUUGUACCACACACAAAAAUCACUAAUUGCACCCUUCCACUAUACUUCACAAACCCCUUCAUCACCAAACACUAUAUUUAAGACUCUCAUUCCCAAAAGCCAUAACUCAUCAAUUCCAAACACACCCUUUUCUCUCUUAUUGAUAAAGAUAUAA